UAGCCGUAAACGAUACUCGCUAGGUGUCGGCCACGGUGCGACCGUUGUCGGUGCCGUAGGGAAGCCGUGAAGCGAGCCACCUGGGAAGUACGGCCGCAAGGCUGAAACUUAAAGGAAUUGGCGGGGGGAGCACCACAACGGGUGGAGCCUGCGGUUUAAUUGGACUCAACGCCGGGAAGCUUACCGGAUAAGACAGCGGAAUGAUUGCCGGGCUGAAGACUCUGCAUGACCAGCUGAGAGGUGGUGCAUGGCGUAGUCGUGU
rnacentral:rRNA from 1 species